CCUACGGGAGGCUGCAGUGGGGAAUAUUGGACAAUGGGGGAAACCCUGAUCCAGCAAUGCCGCGUGUAUGAUGAAGGUCUUCGGAUUGUAAAGUACUUUUAUGGGGGAGGCGGUACCCCAUGAAUAAGCUCCGGCUAACUUCGUGCCAGCAGCCGCGGUAAUACGAAGGGAGCUAGCGUUGUUCGGAAUAACUGGGCGUAAAGGGCGUGUAGUGGAUUGAUGCGUUAGAUGUGAAAGCCCCGGGCUCAACCUGGGAAUGGCAUUUAAUACGGUUAAUCUAGAGUGCGAGAGGGGAAAGCGGAAUGGCGAGUGGAGCAGUGAAAUGCAUUGAGAUUCGCUAGAACACCAGAGGCGAAGGCGGCUUUCUGGCUCGUACUGACACUAAGACGCGAAAGCGUGGGGAGCAAACAGGAUUAGAUACCCUUGUAGUC
rnacentral:rRNA from 1 species